UACAUAGGGGGCGAGCGUUGUCCGGAUUUAUUGGGCGUAAAGAGCUCGUAGGCGGUUUGGCAAGUCGGGUGUGAAAACUCCGGGCUCAACUCGGAGACGCCACUCGAUACUGCCAUGACUUGAGUCCGGUAGGGGAGUGCGGAAUUCCUGGUGUAGCGGUGAAAUGCGCAGAUAUCAGGAGGAACACCGGUGGCGAAGGCGGCACUCUGGGCCGGUACUGACGCUGAGGAGCGAAAGCGUGGGGAGCGAACAGG
rnacentral:rRNA from 1 species